UACGUAUGGUGCAAGCGUUAUCCGGAUUUACUGGGUGUAAAGGGAGCGCAGGCGGCACGGCAAGCCUGAUGUGAAAGCCCGCGGCCCAACCGCGGGACUGCAUUGGGAACUACCGGGCUGGAGUGCCGGAGAGGUAGGCGGAAUUCCUAGUGUAGCGGUGAAAUGCGUAGAUAUUAGGAGGAACACCAGUGGCGAAGGCGGCCUACUGGACGGUGACUGACGCUGAGGCUCGAAAGCGUGGGGAGCGAACAGG
rnacentral:rRNA from 1 species